UACGUAGGGCGCAAGCGUUAUCCGGAAUUAUUGGGCGUAAAGGGCUCGUAGGCGGUCUGUCACGUCGGGAGUGAAAACUCGGGGCUCAACCCCGAGCCUGCUUCCGAUACGGGCAGACUAGAGGUAUGCAGGGGAGAACGGAAUUCCUGGUGUAGCGGUGAAAUGCGCAGAUAUCAGGAGGAACACCGGUGGCGAAGGCGGUUCUCUGGGCAUUACCUGACGCUGAGGAGCGAAAGUGUGGGGAGCGAACAGG
rnacentral:rRNA from 1 species